CUACGGGAGGCAGCAGUCGGGAAUUUUCGGCAAUGGGCGCAAGCCUGACCGAGCAACGCCGCGUGGAGGAUGACGGCCUUCGGGUUGUAAACUCCUUUUCCAGGGGAUGAUGAUGACCGUACCCUGGGAAUCAGGCUCGGCUAACUCUGUGCCAGCAGCCGCGGUAAGACAGAGGAGCCAAGCGUUGUCCGGAUUGACUGGGCGUAAAGCGCACGCAGGCGGUGGGGCACGUGGGGUGUGAAAGCGGCCCGCUUAACGGGGCGAGGCCAUCCCAUACGGCCCGACUCGAGAGUGGCAGAGGUUCGUGGAAUUGCCGGUGUAGUGGUGAAAUGCGUAGAGAUCGGCAGGAACACCAAGGGGGAAACCAGCGAACUGGGCCAUAUCUGACGCUCAGGUGCGAAAGCGUGGGGAGCGAACCGGAUUAGAAACCCUGGUAGUCC
rnacentral:rRNA from 1 species